GCAACCUACAAAGAUGAAUAAUUGUAACAGAGUAAUUACCUGUGAUCUAAUCUACAGUUAAAGGACAUGAACUAACAUAUUUGGACACCUUGUUUUCACAUGGACAAGUGAGAAAAACUAUCAAAACUUUAAUAAUUGAGGGGUUACACGAGCAUGUGGCAAACUUACAAUAUUAGAAAUAUAUAUUUAACCAUGAAUAAAUUUGCUUGCUUAGGGAUGAAAAAUGGAUAGUGAAGCAAGCAUAAAAGUCAUUUUCUCAAGAACAUGCUCAAGAUAAUACAGUAUACCACCCUGGAUCAUCACAAAUGAAGGAAAAUACUCACAUGAUCAUCCAUAAAAGUGUCAUACAAGAAUGGGUAUGAGUCUUUAAGUGCUCAACACUACAGUAUUCCAAUUGAAGGUUUCAAAGAAACCUCAAUGCAUAUUGCAUGCACAUAAUAAAUAUGCAUAUCCACAUAAGCAGGAAGAAAAAUUUUAGCAAUAUAAUGAAAAUCCAUAAAUUUUAAAUUACAUCAAGGUGGAAGAAAAUAAUAGCUCACAGCAUCUUCACAUUCAAAUUCAGAUUAUAUAACCAUCUGGUGCCACUUUCCAGAAAUCAACCUAAAUUCUCAGCUCUUAGGGAAGAUUAAAUCAUAUAAUGAGUAAAAGUGUUGAAAAAGAAAAACACAAAUCCAGACAAUUCUGGGCUGAUAAGAGCACAACCAAACAUCAAGGGCCUAAGAGGAGUCCAAUCUUGGGGUCCACCCAAGAAACCAUGGUUCUACAAUAGUGCAGAUCAGCCUCAGUCCAGCUAAAAAAUAGCAGAGGACUUGGACCAUCAGUAAGUACCUUAACAAAUCAUGAAGUCUAAAACCAUAUCAUUAACCUAAACAGUCACCAUUGUAAACCUAAAUGCAGGGAGAAGUAUCAGAUACCUAUACAAAUCUGCACUGCACUGACGAAUUCAAUCUGUCAGUAAGUUAAACUCACUUAUUAGAUUGAAUGCAUUAGAAAUCCAAAAAUGCAUACUUAUAUAACUAUAAGAGUAUCACUGCUACGCAUUUACUUACCUACGAAUUAUG
rnacentral:misc_RNA from 1 species